UACGAAGGGGGCUAGCGUUGCUCGGAAUCACUGGGCGUAAAGCGCACGUAGGCGGAUUGUUAAGUCAGGGGUGAAAUCCUGGAGCUCAACUCCAGAACUGCCUUUGAUACUGGCGAUCUUGAGUUCGGGAGAGGUGAGUGGAACUGCGAGUGUAGAGGUGAAAUUCGUAGAUAUUCGCAAGAACACCAGUGGCGAAGGCGGCUCACUGGCCCGAUACUGACGCUGAUGUGCGAAAGCGUGGGGAGCAAACAGG
rnacentral:rRNA from 1 species